UACGUAGGGUGCGAGCGUUGUCCGGAAUUAUUGGGCGUAAAGAGCCCGUAGGCGGUCUGUCGCGUCGAAUGUGAAAACCCGGGGCUCAACUCCGGGCUUGCAUUCGAUACGGGCAGGCUAGAGUUCGGUAGGGGAGUCUGGAAUUCCUGGUGUAGCGGUGAAAUGCGCAGAUAUCAGGAGGAACACCGGUGGCGAAGGCGGGACUCUGGGCCGAUACUGACGCUGAGGAGCGGAAGCGUGGGGAGCGAACAGG
rnacentral:rRNA from 1 species